GAAAGUUGGCGCUGGUCGUUUCCUUGUGGUGUACGGUAGAGAAGGGCCGACUUUUUCGUGGUCCCAACAUGAGUUCAAAGUGGUUUGUGAUGAAGAGAAAGAAGAAUACAAGUGUGAGUGCAAGCAGUGGGAGCACACAGGACUGCUAUGCCCACACCUUAUUAUAGUGAUGACAAAUGAGCAGAUUCAGAAACUUCCAAGCAAAUAUGUGUAUAGAAGGUACACAAGGAAUGCAAAGAUUGACCCACCAUAUGACAGGAAUGACACUCUCCAGGUUGGAGCCGAUGGGACAUCAAAUAGUGGAAAGCACUUAAAUAUGCUCAGACUGGCUUAUGCCUGUGUUAGAGCGGGGGACAGAUCAACAGUUGGAUAUGAAAGAGUCAUUCAUGUGAUGACAGAACUUAGGGAUCAGGUUGAGGCACUUCCUCCUGAUGUCAUGCCUGUGUUUGAUUAUGGAGGUUGCAGUGAUCCAGCUGGCCGUGAGAUAGAUAAUUUUAAAGCACCACCGAUUGCAAAAACGAAGGGUUGUAGAUCAGAAGAAGGGCGUAGGAUCGGCGCACCCGGGCCAAAGAAGUGCACAAGAAGAUGCAGCAAUUGCGGCCUUAUGGCAGGUCACAAUAGGGCGUCAUGCGAAGAACGAACAGAAAGCUUCGCAGUUGGUGGCAGCAGAGCAGCCCAGGGGAGGGGCAGGGGCAGGGGUAGGGGUAGGGGCAGGGGUAGGGGUAGGGGAAGGGGAACGACAACUCGCCGCCGUUUGAUACAUGAUGAGGUGGACGAAGAUGAAGACUUAGAUUAUCAGGAAGAAGAUGAUCUGCUAGGUGAUGAAUAAUCUUGCGGAAAAGAUGGUAGCAAUUAUUCCAGUUUGGUGACUUGUAAAUAACUCGAUUGUGAAACUAUGUUGUGUCAGUCAUUACAACUAGUUUAUUUCUAGUACUCUGAGAGAUAAUUGAAAGCAUUAUGUGUA